AUACGAUGAAGAGUUUGAUCCUGGCUCAGGAUGAACGCUAGCGGCAGGCUUAACACAUGCAAGUCGAGGGGUAUAGUUCUUCGGAAUUAGAGACCGGCGCACGGGUGCGUAACGCGUAUGCAAUCUACCUUUUACAGAGGGAUAGCCCAGAGAAAUUUGGAUUAAUACCUCAUAGUA
rnacentral:rRNA from 1 species